rnacentral:rRNA from 1 species
GAUGAACGCUGGCGGCGUGCCUAACACAUGCAAGUCGAACGAAGCACCUUACCUGAUUCUUCGGAUGAAAGUUUGGUGACUGAGUGGCGGACGGGUGAGUAACGCGUGGGUAACCUGCCCUGUACAGGGGGAUAACAGCUGGAAACGGCUGCUAAUACCGCAUAAGCGCACGAGGAGACAUCUCCUUGUGUGAAAAACUCCGGUGGUACAGGAUGGGCCCGCGUCUGAUUAGCUGGUUGGCAGGGUAACGGCCUACCAAGGCAACGAUCAGUAGCCGGUCUGAGAGGAUGAACGGCCACAUUGGAACUGAGACACGGUCCAAACUCCCACGGGAGGCAGCAGUGGGGAAUAUUGCACAAUGGGGGAAACCCUGAUGCAGCAACGCCGCGUGAGUGAAGAAGUAUUUCGGUAUGUAAAGCUCUAUCAGCAGGGAAGAUAAUGACGGUACCUGACUAAGAAGCUCCGGCUAAAUACGUG